UACGUAGGGUGCGAGCGUUGUCCGGAAUUAUUGGGCGUAAAGAGCUUGUAGGCGGUUUGUCGCGUCUGCUGUGAAAUCUCAAGGCUCAACCUUGAGCUUGCAGUGGGUACGGGCAGACUAGAGUGUGGUAGGGGAGACUGGAAUUCCUGGUGUAGCGGUGAAAUGCGCAGAUAUCAGGAGGAACACCGAUGGCGAAGGCAGGUCUCUGGGCAUUAACUGACGCUGAGGAGCGAAAAGCAUGGGGAGCGAACAGG
rnacentral:rRNA from 1 species